UUAAAAAAUUGUACUGGUAGUUUUUAGGCUCCUUCUUUAGUCGCCGGUCGGCUGUCGGCUAACCUCAAACUUUGUGUCUACACAACACCUAUUCGUUUUCAAAUCGUCCAUUGUUCAAUAUUGUUCAUUCGAUGCGGCCUAUGCGGUUGGUCCUUGGUUCGUUUGUUCUGCUGUACCCACUGCUGGAGUUCAGACAUUUUGUUCGUUGUCGGCCGUUGGCGUUUUAUUCGUGUUAGACGGUAGGUAGUUGGUUGUAGUUUCGUUGCUCAUCAAUCUUAGUAAUGCUCAAUGCAAAAUACAAAUCAUUUUUUUUUUUGUCGCGGUUUCGAUCUCGUGGUUUCAGUAUAGUGUAAUGCAGACGUCAACUCUAAAGGUAAACGUACCCGUCCAGCGUCCGCCGGCCGCCAUUUUUAACACUGCGCGCCGUUGUCCGAUCAUUUCUAUUCGUUAAUUUUAUGCGUUAUCUCCGCGACCGAAGUAAAAAGAUAUUUUGUUGACGUUCGAAUAGGCAUGGCCGAAUAUUGUGCGCGUUACGCUAAUACGCGAAUACGGCUUACGCUAGCCACAUGGUUUCUAUAGGGCCGCGUCCGAAGUUUGACCGCUGCCGCCAUCGUUACCGCAAUAUUAUGUCGACGCAUCGAACGCGCCCAAUGUCGUCGCGUCCUUUCUCGUUCGGCGCCGACGACGAUGAUGCGAAUCCAAUCGCCGUAAUAUUACCGUAAUAUUAUUUAUUUUUUUCCCAUGUUCCCGUUUUGUUUUUGUCCGGCGAAUCAACGCCCCAACGGCAGCCUAACCUAUGGUAUUUGUUUAGGGUGGUCAAUUGACGAGACGCCUACAGCAGUCGUCGCGGGUGCACGCGGUUUGUCGUUCAUCAUAAGCAUCAAGUGAAUGGUGCAAUCCACGAUGGUGAAAACGAUCGGUGGCUCGGUCAUAAUUUAAGGUAACUCAUCGAGUUGAUGUGAUUAAGUUAUUUACGCACUGGACAAAGGCAAACAAUUAAUUAUUUUAUCCCACAGACUUCUAUAAUACACUAGAUACGCAGGGGUUAAAGUGGGAAAAAAUUCCAGGGGGGACUAACGCCUCCAUAUAGUUUUAAGCGUUCCAGAUAUCGGAAGAGCGUC